AGCGAACGCUGGCGGCGUGCCUAACACAUGCAAGUCGAACGUGAAAGGGAGCAAUCCCAAGUAAAGUGGCGUACGGGUGAGUAACACGUAGGUAAUCUACCCCAGAAUCUGGAAUAACCGGCCGAAAGGCUGGCUAAUACUGGAUAGAGCGACGGAAUCCGUAAUUGGGUUUUUCGGGAAAGGGAGCCUGUAAAAAGGCCUUCGUUCUGGGAUGAGCCUGCGUCCCAUCAGCUAGUUGGUGAGGUAAAAGCUUACCAAGGUAAUGACGGGUAGCUGGUCUGAGAGGACGAUCAGCCACACUGGAACUGAAACACGGUCCAGACUCCUACGGGAGGCAGCAGUGGGGAAUCUUGCGCAAUGGACGAAAGUCUGACGCAGCAACGCCGCGUGAGUGAAGAAGGCCUUCGGGUUGUAAAGCUCUGUCGAGUGGGACGAAAAUGCUUGGAGUUCACAGCUCCAGGAACUGACGGUACCACUAAAGGAAGCACCGGCUAACUCCGUG
rnacentral:rRNA from 1 species